rnacentral:rRNA from 1 species
GAUGAACGCUGGCGGCGUGCCUAAUACAUGCAAGUCGCGCGAAGCGGGGACGGGUGAGUAACACGUGGAUAACCUCCUAUCAGACAGGGAUAACUUCGGGAAACCUGAGGUAACCCGGAACCUUAUCGAUGGAUCUACGCUGGAUUAGGUAGUUGGUAAGGUAACGGCUUACAAAGGCAACGAAGCAUCGCCGACCUGAGAGGGUGAUCGGCCAACCUGGAACUGAGACACGGUCCAGAAUCCUACGGGAGGCAGCAGGAGGGAAUCUUGCGCAAUGGGCUCAAGCCUGACGGAGCUAUGCCGCGUGAGUGAUGAAGGUCUUCUGAUUGUAAAACUCUGUUAUUAGGGAAGCGGUACCUAAUCAGAAAGCCACGGCUAACUACGUGCCAGCAGCCGCGGUAAUAC